rnacentral:lncRNA from 1 species
CAUCCCGAAGAGGGGUUGUUGUUGGUUCGGAGGCAGGGGGUUCAGUUCGGGAAGGCUCCUCGUUAGGGAGUUCUUCAUUUGCAUCAGUAAUCCUCCCCGCCAAGAAAUCUUCCAAGUCUUUUACUUCCGAGGAAGUUGGUUUGAUCAAAGACACUGCAAAUAAUCACAAGUUAGAAUCCAUACCACAUAAAUAUUUCAAGAAUUAUAUCACAGAAUGGUCCGAGACUUAUAUUUAUGGUCAUACAGCCAAGCUUGCUUGGUCAGUAGAGUGAAGCUCCACUCUUGAAGAGGGAUCUUCUUCAGGAAGUCACCCAUCUCCCUCACACGCUCCUCGGGAAUGUCACCAAAGUCAGCAGAGACACGGUCUAAAAUGGUCCAAUCAGGAAGGGAGGAUAUCCCAGGACCAGUGACGAAGAACCAUUUCUCGUGCCAUCCUUUGUUGCUCGAGGGGGUGCUCAUCAGGGGUCUCUUCUCGAAUUUCGAGUUUGGGCGUGGGGAUUGUUUGCUCAGCAUUUUGAACCCUCGUUCUCAGGAUCUGCCAGCCGAGAAGAGGGUGAAAAAGAGGUUAACAGAGGGGGUAACCCCUAAUUCGUGGCAGAAGGCGAUGAACGCCAGUAUAUGGAUAUAGGAGUUGGGCACCAGUUGUGCGAAGCCUACUCCAAUAAACCCUAAGAGGGUAACUAUGAAGGCGUGGAGGGGUAGGCGAAUCCCUUUCUCCAGCAGAGUAGUCGGCAUAGCGACCCAGCCGUCUGGUCGCUGGUACAUUCGCUCCUCAGCAGCUGGAGCCCUCCUAGCAUAGUUAUCCGGAAUAUGGUAUCGAAUCCGGAGAGCUCGUAAUUCAGAUUCAGAGACGGUGGAGGUGAUGUUAGCGUGAGGAAAUUUUUCCCCAUCUUUGAAGAAAUCAGUUGGAGAUGGUGGAUUU